rnacentral:rRNA from 1 species
CCUACGGGAGGCAGCAGUAGGGAAUCUUUCACAAUGGGCGAAAGCCUGAUGGAGCAACGCCGCGUGCAGGAUGAAGGCUUUCGGGUUGUAAACUGCUUUUAUAAGCGAGAAAUAUGAUGGUAACUUAUGAAUAAGGAUCGGCUAACUACGUGCCAGCAGCCGCGGUCAUACGUAGGAUCCGAGCAUUAUCCGGAGUGACUGGGUGUAAAGAGUUGCGUAGGUGGCAUAAUAAGUAGCUAGUGAAAUCUGGUGGGUCAACCAUUCAGACGAUUAGCUAAACUGUUAAGCUCGAGACCGUUAGGGGUAACUGGAAUUUCUAGUGUAGGAGUGAAAUGCGUAGAUAUUGGGAGGAACACCAGUGGCGUAGGCAGGUUGCUGGGACGGUUCUGACGCUAAGGCACGAAAGCGUAGGGAGCAAACGGGAUUAGAUACCCUGGUAGUC